rnacentral:rRNA from 1 species
CAAAGAUUAAGCCAUGCAUGUCUCAGUACAAGCCAAAUUAAGGUGAAACCGCGAAAGGCUCAUUAAAUCAGUUAUGGUUCCUUAGAUCGUACCCACAAUUACUUGGAUAACUGUGGUAAUUCUAGAGCUAAUACAUGCAAACAGAGCUCCGACCGGAGACGGAAGGAGUGCUUUUAUUAGAUCAAAACCAAUCGGUGGCGGGUUCGCUCGUCAUCGUACAACUUGGUGAUUCUGAAUAACUUUACGCUGAUCGCACGGUCAUCGCACCGGCGACGCAUCUUUCAAAUGUCUGCCUUAUCAACUGUCGAUGGUAGGUUCUGCGCCUACCAUGGUUGUAACGGGUAACGGGGAAUCAGGGUUCGAUUCCGGAGAGGGAGCCUGAGAAACGGCUACCACAUCCAAGGAAGGCAGCAGGCGCGCAAAUUACCCACUCCCGGCACGGGGAGGUAGUGACGAAAAAUAACGAUACGGGACUCAUCCGAGGCCCCGUAAUCGGAAUGAGUACACUCUAAACCCUUUAACGAGGAUCAAUUGGAGGGCAAGUCUGGUGCCAGCAGCCGCGGUAAUUCCAGCUCCAAUAGCGUAUAUUAAAGUUGUUGCGGUUAAAAAGCUCGUAGUCGAAUUUGUGUCUCGCGCCGCCGGUUCAUCGUUCGCGGUGUUAACUGGCGAGUCGCGAGACGUCCUGCCGGUGGGCUUAGCUCGCGAGGGCGGCCCAACUCAAUCCUGCCGCGGUGCUCUUCAUUGAGUGUCGAGGUGGGCCGGCACGUUUACUUUGAACAAAUUAGAGUGCUUAAAGCAGGCUAAAACUUCGCCUGAAUACUGUGUGCAUGGAAUAAUGGAAUAGGACCUCGGUUCUAUUUUGUUGGUUUUCGGAACCCCGAGGUAAUGAUUAAUAGGAACGGAUGGGGGCAUUCGUAUUGCGACGUUAGAGGUGAAAUUCUUGGAUCGUCGC